ensembl:lncRNA
AAUAUGUUAUUAAUGUUCUGUACCACAAGAAAGCUUACAGUCACAGUAAUCCAAACUUUGAUAAUUUUUGUGUGUAUAAACUCAAGAUUUCUGUGAUUGUAAACUUUCUUGCAUUUCAAAACUGCUUUUAAGUCCACAAACUACUAACAUUACUGUUUUUAAUGUGUACAUGUAGUAACCUUUGGCUAUUGCAUUGUAGUAUUUUAACCAGAGAGAGAGAUCUUUCUUGAGGCAGAGGUUAUAAAAUCAGUAGCUAAAACAUGAACCCAGGUUCUUUUUUGUCAACUACUACCUUUUUAAAUCCUUUUUUUUUUUUCUAGAGUAAAAACCUCUUACAAGAUAUUUUUAAGACUUCCCCCCCCCCCCUACAAUUUUGAAAAGAAAUGCUACAUUGUUUUCCUACUAUGGUGUCUGUAGUCUUGGCAAAGCAGGAGAAAUCCAUGCACUGCUCUGAGUUAAAGUUCAAUUUCUUCAGAUUAUCUGUAAAUUUUCAAUAAUGGCAAUACAUUCAUUCUGCCAUUUGGAGGAGCCUGUGCCACAGAAUAAUGAUGUGAAGAAAGCUCACUUAUUUGCAAGGAAGAGUCCUCAUUUGGGAACAGUACAGCUGCAACUAAGAGGUGCUUUGUCAAGUUCAGGUCUUUGACAUUCAGUGGGAUGAGAAUCUCAGAACAGACUGACUACUGGGGACUCCCAAGCUACAGUUCAGGUAAAUAACUUAUUUGGAGGAGGAACUUAAAGGUUUCUUCUGAUUUAAAUUAUGAUAAUUAAGUAGCAAAGAGUGCAACAAACUAUAAAUAUUUUCCACUUAACAUUUAAAAUAGAUAUGCCUAUAUUUGUGAGAGGAUUUGUUAGUUACAGUUUGAGCACUAUAUAGUUAUUUAACAUUUCAGCAGUACUGUUUCUAAAGAGGACUUCUUUACUGGUACAGAACAUGAAUGUCUAGUUCUAUUCCCAGCCACAUUUUUAUCUUGUUUUCCAACAUGCAGCCAUGAGUACGUGGCUAGUUCAGCUACUGCAAUUUCCAUUUUGCAAAGACAGAGAUGUCUUUUGGUAAUGCAUGCAUAAUUUAGAAGUAACAGCUUCUAUACUGGAGUAAGUGUUAGGGGCUCUGUUCAGAUCAUGGGAUUAACUUGGUUUGUUUCCUGCUCCAGCUGGUCCCCGAUUUCUCCAGGGAGAGGGUAGCUCCAUUGUGUGUGUUGCAACAGUCCAGUGCAGUUUGUAACCUACAGCCUUAAAGUCACUCAGAACUGGUACGGCUUUACGUUUAUUUAUGCUUUUGGAAAGUACAGUGGUGCAGCAGGUACUGCUACCUCAUUAGUGGAGGCAGGAAACUCGAAGAGGAACAGGGUGGGCAAUGGGAACAGGAACUGUUAUGGCCAUCUCCAGUAAUCUUUCCUAAUUUAUCAUCCAGGGUCCUCUUUCACUCUCUGUUUUUGGAGGGGGCAGGGGUGCAGGUGGAAAACAGUUCUGUAAUUGGUACAAAAAGAGAAAAAAAGUUUCCUAUUUGAAAAGCAAAAAGUUUUCCUUCUGUGUGGUAAUGUUUCAAAGAGGAAAACAUUAAAGCUUUCAGGAUUUUUUUCAAAAAAUUUCAAUUAUAGACUAAAUUUCAAUUAUAGACUUACAUCCUUGCCUUCUUCAAAAACAGAAAGAUGUUGUAAAAGAUAAUUACUUUGAGAUAAAGAUCAAGAAUAAAAAUGCAGAGAAAGAAAAAAGAUUCUUUUCU